rnacentral:pre_miRNA from 1 species
GAACUACUCCCUCCACCCCAAAACUCUUGUCUUAGAUUUGUUUAGAUACGGAUGUAUCUAAUACUAAAAUGUGAUUUGAUACAUCCGUAUUUAGACAAAUCUAAGACAAGAAUUUUGGGACAGAGGGAGUACUAC